AUACGUAGGGAGCGAGCGUUGUCCGGAAUUACUGGGGGUAAAGGGAGCGUAGGCGGGAGUGCAAGUCAGAUGUGAAAUACAUGGGCUCAACCCAUGGGCUGCAUUUGAAACUGCAUUUCUUGAGUGAAGUAGAGGUAAGCGGAAUUCCUGGUGUAGCGGUGAAAUGCGUAGAUAUCAGGAGGAACACCGGUGGCGAAGGCGGCUUACUGGGCUUUUACUGACGCUGAGGCUCGAAAGCGUGGGGAGCAAACAGGAUUAGAUACCCUGGUAGUCCACGCUGUAAACGAUGAUUACUAGGUGUGGGGGGACUGACCCCUUCCGUGCCGCAGUUAACACAAUAAGUAAUCCACCUGGGGAGUACGGCCGCAAGGUUGAAACUCAAAUGAAUUGGCGGGG
rnacentral:rRNA from 1 species